GUGCAUCUGCUGCCCCCUAUCGGUUAUGAGAACAAUAGCCAGAGCGGGUUAGAAUCCACUGGAAGAGGCCUCUUGAAUAAAAGAAUAUUCCAGGAUUGCGCAGCAGCGACUGGACUCGCAGAGAGCCCGUUUUCCGCAGUCAGCUCCGACUGCCUUGUUUGAAUGCACUUGUUCCCAAGUGAAGUUGAGAAUAUUGGAUCGCUAAGAGGCAACUGACGACUGCUUUGGUGACGGGCAGGGGGGCGGGGACAGGAUCCACCCAAGGUUCAAUUUGUUUUCCGCCCUCCUAGUCCUUAGGAAAAGCACUUGCCCGCAGCCGGGAUGGGGACGUCCAUUAUAGCACAGCGUGGCGUUUCCCCAAGCCUCUGAAGGCACCUGUCACCCUAUUACACCUUGAUGCAGUCUUGGCAGUCUCCCGACUUGUCCACUCAUGUCCAUGUUUGCCUGGGUGCUUUCGGGAAGAAGGGAAAACACAAGGAGACGGACAAUCAGGACUCCUCCCCUCCCAGCGAUCUUUCUAGGAGGCCACCUCCUGAGAUUCCGACGCGAUUUCCUCCCUACCGGGACUAAGCUGGGAACUCCUCACUUCAUACACUGGGGAGAACCGCAAGCUGAGUAUUUGACGGGGGUUACCACUGCACCUCACCCCCGCAAAACACAGUUUACUAUGUGUAGUUCUGGGCCCCACCGUGGUGAUGCAACAGUAGCACGUCACUCCACAGUUCUGGAUGCUGUAUGGAAGAUCCCUGUUCUCUGGCCAGCUCGCACAUGACAGGCACAAGCACGCUUGCCGCGAUCCUGGCUGGCUGGAGGGUGGGGCAUCGGAAGCGCUGUGAG